rnacentral:rRNA from 1 species
AACGCUGGCGGCGUGCCUAAUACAUGCAAGUAGAACGCUGAAGAGAGGAGCUUGCUCUUCUUGGAUGAGUUGCGAACGGGUGAGUAACGCGUAGGUAACCUGCCUUGUAGCGGGGGAUAACUAUUGGAAACGAUAGCUAAUACCGCAUAACAAUGGAUGACACAUGUCAUUUAUUUGAAAGGGGCAAUUGCUCCACUACAAGAUGGACCUGCGUUGUAUUAGCUAGUAGGUGAGGUAAUGGCUCACCUAGGCGACGAUACAUAGCCGACCUGAGAGGGUGAUCGGCCACACUGGGACUGAGACACGGCCCAGACUCCUACGGGAGGCAGCAGUAGGGAAUCUUCGGCAAUGGGGGCAACCCUGACCGAGCAACGCCGCGUGAGUGAAGAAGGUUUUCGGAUCGUAAAGCUCUGUUGUAAGUCAAGAACGGGUGUGAGAGUGGAAAGUUCACACUGUGACGGUAGCUUACCAGAAAGGGACGGCUAACUACGUGCCAGCAGCCGCGGUAAUACGUAGGUCCCGAGCGUUGUCCGGAUUUAUUGGGCGUAAAGCGAGCGCAGGCGGUUUGAUAAGUCUGAAGUUAAAGGCUGUGGCUCAACCAUAGUUCGCUUUGGAAACUGUCAAACUUGAGUGCAGAAGGGGAGAGUGGAAUUCCAUGUGUAGCGGUGAAAUGCGUAGAUAUAUGGAGGAACACCGGUGGCGAAAGCGGCUCUCUGGUCUGUAACUGACGCUGAGGCUCGAAAGCGUGGGGAGCGAACAGGAUUAGAUACCCUGGUAGUCCACGCCGUAAACGAUGAGUGCUAGGUGUUGGAUCCUUUCCGGGAUUCAGUGCCGCAGCUAACGCAUUAAGCACUCCGCCUGGGGAGUACGACCGCAAGGUUGAAACUCAAAGGAAUUGACGGGGGCCCGCACAAGCGGUGGAGCAUGUGGUUUAAUUCGAAGCAACGCGAAGAACCUUACCAGGUCUUGACAUCCCGAUGCUAUUUCUAGAGAUAGAAAGUUACUUCGGUACAUCGGUGACAGGUGGUGCAUGGUUGUCGUCAGCUCGUGUCGUGAGAUGUUGGGUUAAGUCCCGCAACGAGCGCAACCCCUAUUGUUAGUUGCCAUCAUUCAGUUGGGCACUCUAGCGAGACUGCCGGUAAUAAACCGGAGGAAGGUGGGGAUGACGUCAAAUCAUCAUGCCCCUUAUGACCUGGGCUACACACGUGCUACAAUGGUUGGUACAACGAGUUGCGAGUCGGUGACGGCGAGCUAAUCUCUUAAAGCCAAUCUCAGUUCGGAUUGUAGGCUGCAACUCGCCUACAUGAAGUCGGAAUCGCUAGUAAUCGCGGAUCAGCACGCCGCGGUGAAUACGUUCCCGGGCCUUGUACACACCGCCCGUCACACCACGAGAGUUUGUAACACCCGAAGUCGGUGAGGUAACCUUUUGGAGCCAGCCGCCUAAGGUGGGACAGAUGAUUGG